CAGUAGCCGCGGUAAUACAGAGGGUGCGAGCGUUAAUCGGAUUUACUGGGCGUAAAGCGUGCGUAGGCGGCUUCUUAAGUCGGAUGUGAAAUCCCUGAGCUUAACUUAGGAAUUGCAUUCGAUACUGGGAAGCUAGAGUAUGGGAGAGGAUGGUAGAAUUCCAGGUGUAGCGGUGAAAUGCGUAGAGAUCUGGAGGAAUACCGAUGGCGAAGGCAGCCAUCUGGCCUAAUACUGACGCUGAGGUACGAAAGCAUGGGGAGCAAACAGGAUUAGAUACCCCGGUAGUCCCUGUCUCUUAUAC
rnacentral:rRNA from 1 species